rnacentral:rRNA from 1 species
UACAGAGGGUGCGAGCGUUAAUCGGAAUUACUGGGCGUAAAGCGUGCGUAGACGGCUAUCUAAGUCGGGUGUGAAAGCCCCGGGCUCAACCUGGGAAUUGCAUUCGAGACUGAAUAGCUAGGGUGCGGUAGAGGGAAGCGGAAUUUCCGGUGUAGCGGUGAAAUGCGUAGAUAUGACAUAGAACACCAAUUGCGAAGGCAGCUGGCUACACGAAUAUUGACACUGAUGCACGAAAGCGUGGGGAUCAAACAGG